GGAGGAAUGUCUGAGUGGCCGAAAGAGCACGCUUGGAAAGCGUGUGAUGCUGUAAAAAGUAUCCGUGGGUUCGAAUCCCACUUCCUCCGCCA
rnacentral:tRNA from 1 species